rnacentral:rRNA from 1 species
CCCUUAGAUGUUCUGGGCUGCACGCGCGCUACACUGAUGCACUCAACGAGUUUUCGACCUUGCCCGAUAGGGCUGGGUAAUCUUUUUAAAAUGCAUCGUGAUGGGGAUAGAUUAUUGCAAUUAUUAAUCUUCAACGAGGAAUGCCUAGUAGGCGCAAGUCAUCAGCUUGCGUCGAUUACGUCCCUGCCCUUUGUACACACCGCCCGUCGCUCCUACCGAUUGGGUGUGCUGGUGAAAUGUUCGGAUCGGCCGUUUGUCGCGGUUUCCGCGUCAUGUGGCUGAGAAGUUCAUUAAACCCUCCCACCUAGAGGAAGGAGAAGUCGUAACA